rnacentral:lncRNA from 1 species
GGUUCAAAAAAUCCACAUGUGAAAGCUUUCAAUAUGAAGAGUUCAGGAAAUUAUUUGAAGAUAUUAUUCAACAUGAUUGUUUACAUGCUCAAACACUAGAAGUUUAUAUUUUAUGUUCACGUUAAUCUUUUGGAUUAAUACUUUCUUUUGUUUGUUUGGAUUUAAUGUGAUAUACUCUAUUUUAUGAAUGAAUAGUAAUUUUUUUUUA